UUGAAGAGUUUGAUCAUGGCUCAGAUUGAACGCUGGCGGCAGGCCUAACACAUGCAAGUCGAGCGGUAGCACAGAGAGCUUGCUCUCGGGUGACGAGCGGCGGACGGGUGAGUAAUGUCUGGGAAACUGCCUGAUGGAGGGGGAUAACUACUGGAAACGGUAGCUAAUACCGCAUAACGUCGCAAGACCAAAGUGGGGGACCUUCGGGCCUCAUGCCAUCAGAUGUGCCCAGAUGGGAUUAGCUAGUAGGUGGGGUAACGGCUCACCUAGGCGACGAUCCCUAGCUGGUCUGAGAGGAUGACCAGCCACACUGGAACUGAGACACGGUCCAGACUCCUACGGGAGGCAGCAGUGGGGAAUAUUGCACAAUGGGCGCAAGCCUGAUGCAGCCAUGCCGCGUGUGUGAAGAAGGCCUUCGGGUUGUAAAGCACUUUCAGCGGGGAGGAAGGCGAUAAGGUUAAUAACCUUGGCGAUUGACGUUACCCGCAGAAGAAGCACCGGCUAACUCCGUGCCAGCAGCCGCGGUAAUACGGAGGGUGCAAGCGUUAAUCGGAAUUACUGGGCGUAAAGCGCACGCAGGCGGUCUGUCAAGUCGGAUGUGAAAUCCCCGGGCUUAACCUGGGAACUGCAUUCGAAACUGGCAGGCUAGAGUCUUGUAGAGGGGGGUAGAAUUCCAGGUGUAGCGGUGAAAUGCGUAGAGAUCUGGAGGAAUACCGGUGGCGAAGGCGGCCCCCUGGACAAAGACUGACGCUCAGGUGCGAAAGCGUGGGGAGCAAACAGGAUUAGAUACCCUGGUAGUCCACGCCGUAAACGAUGUCGAUUUGGAGGUUGUGCCCUUGAGGCGUGGCUUCCGGAGCUAACGCGUUAAAUCGACCGCCUGGGGAGUACGGCCGCAAGGUUAAAACUCAAAUGAAUUGACGGGGGCCCGCACAAGCGGUGGAGCAUGUGGUUUAAUUCGAUGCAACGCGAAGAACCUUACCUGGUCUUGACAUCCACAGAACUUUCCAGAGAUGGAUUGGUGCCUUCGGGAACUGUGAGACAGGUGCUGCAUGGCUGUCGUCAGCUCGUGUUGUGAAAUGUUGGGUUAAGUCCCGCAACGAGCGCAACCCUUAUCCUUUGUUGCCAGCGGUUAGGCCGGGAACUCAAAGGAGACUGCCAGUGAUAAACUGGAGGAAGGUGGGGAUGACGUCAAGUCAUCAUGGCCCUUACGACCAGGGCUACACACGUGCUACAAUGGCAUAUACAAAGAGAAGCGACCUCGCGAGAGCAAGCGGACCUCAUAAAGUAUGUCGUAGUCCGGAUUGGAGUCUGCAACUCGACUCCAUGAAGUCGGAAUCGCUAGUAAUCGUAGAUCAGAAUGCUACGGUGAAUACGUUCCCGGGCCUUGUACACACCGCCCGUCACACCAUGGGAGUGGGUUGCAAAAGAAGUAGGUAGCUUAACCUUCGGGAGGGCGCUUACCACUUUGUGAUUCAUGACUGGGGUGAAGUCGUAACAAGGUAACCGUAGGGGAACCUGCGGUUGGAUCACCUCCUU
rnacentral:rRNA from 1 species